UAGAGUUUGAUCAUGGCUCAGGAUGAACGCUGGCGGUAUGCCUAACACAUGCAAGUCGUACGAGAGUUUUUAACUCUAGUGGCGGACGGGUGAGUAACACGUGAGAAUUUGCCUUUAGGAGGGGGAUAACAAUUGGAAACGAAUGCUAAUACCCCAUAUGCUUUCGAGUGAAAUGGAUUUAUAUUUAUCCGCCUAGAGAGAAGCUCGCGGCUGAUUAGCUUGUUGGUAAGGUAAGAGCUUACCAAGGCGACGAUCAGUAUCUGGUUUGAGAGGACGAUCAGACACACUGGAACUGAGACACGGUCCAGACUCCUACGGGAGGCAGCAGUGGGGAAUUUUCCGCAAUGGGCGAAAGCCUGACGGAGCAAUACCGCGUGAGGGAAGACUGCCUAUGGGUUGUAAACCUCUUUUUUCAGGGAGGAAUCAAUGACGUGUACCUGAAGAAUAAGCAUCGGCUAACUCCGUGCCAGCAGCCGCGGUAAGACGGAGGAUGCAAGUGUUAUCCGGAAUCACUGGGCGUAAAGCGUCUGUAGGUGGUUUAAUAAGUCAACUGUUAAAUCUUGAGGCUCAACUUCAAAAUCGCAGUCGAAACUAUUAGACUAGAGUAUAGUAGAGGUAAAGGGAAUUU
rnacentral:rRNA from 1 species